GGCGGACGGGUGAGUAACACGUGAGAAUUUACCUUUAGGAGGGGGAUAACAAUUGGAAACGAUUGCUAAUACCCCAUAUGCUUUUGAGUGAAAUGGAUUUAUAUUAUCCGCCUAGAGAGAAGCUCGCGGCUGAUUAGCUUGUUGGUAAGGUAAGAGCUUACCAAGGCGACGAUCAGUAUCUGGUUUGAGAGGACGAUCAGACACACUGGAACUGAGACACGGUCCAG
rnacentral:rRNA from 1 species